CUGAUGUAUCAUCGUGUUUUCUAUCUUUCUCCGAGCAAAGGUCCAUUUUCCAGUUAACCGCACGCCAAGGCAUCAGCGCGCCCCGUGAGACACCAUACUCGACAGCUGUUUAUAAAUGAAAAUUGCGUCACUGGGACAUCAAAGGGGGAUCAGAAGUAAUAGCCGGUGGUCAGUGCGCUCGGACAGAGGUCAGCCCAGUGAUUGGUCGGACGGGAAAUUUAAUUGUUAAGUAUAAAUCGAAAAAUCAGAUACAGACUCAAGUGAUUUGAUGUUUGAAUGUACGGAAAUUCCAAAAAAAAAGUAGUUUUUUUUUUUAGAUGGCGGGAUGUGCCAUGACGUCAAAUUGUAUUCAUCAUGUUUUCCUUGUGAUAGAUUCAUGUAUAAAUCAGAUUCGACAUCUCAGGAAAUUUGGAAAUAAAAUCUUAACUUUUUA